rnacentral:rRNA from 1 species
CAGUCGCCGCGGUAAUACGUAGGGUGCGAGCGUUAAUCGGAAUUACUGGGCGUAAAGCGUGCGCAGGCGGUUGUGUAAGACAGGCGUGAAAUCCCCGGGCUCAACCUGGGAAUGGCGCUUGUGACUGCACGGCUGGAGUGCGGCAGAGGGGGAUGGAAUUCCGCGUGUAGCAGUGAAAUGCGUAGAUAUGCGGAGGAACACCGAUGGCGAAGGCAAUCCCCUGGGCCUGCACUGACGCUCAUGCACGAAAGCGUGGGGAGCAAACAGGAUUAGAUACCCCCGUAGUCCCUGUCUCUUAUAC